UAAAAUUGUAGAAAUUCACAAUCUUCCCUUAUUGUGUUUUUAUAAUAUAUAUUCGAAAUUUUAAUUGAAACUAAUGUUCACAGUGAAGAAAAACAUUUGAAAAGUAAAAUAAUCUUAAAAGUUUUUUUAUUAAAUUCAUCCACUUGUUAGUCCAAGAAUUUAAGUUUUUACUUGAUUAUUUUUAUGUGCUCAUCUCGUGAAAAAGUAUCUUUUAACAACACUUAAUUAUAUGUAUUAAUAUACUGUAAUAUUGAUUAAAAUUCUGUUCUACAGACGUCAAUAUAUUGACUUUUUAAAUACUUGAGAAUUUCAGAUAUUAUUUACUGGUAUAAUUUACUAGGGUUUCAUGGUGAUCAUGAAAAGAGAAGACUUUCUUCGAGUAAAUAAAUAAUUAUAGUUUCAAUAAAUUUGUAGUAUGCUGUCCACACUGUACUGUUUACAAUCUAUUUGUUAGUUGGUAUGCCUUGCUGAUGGUGGGUGUGACUAUCUGUGCAAUUCUGAAGAUGCAUGGCUAGCAGAAAAAAUGUCUACAUUGUAGAAAACAAAAUCACUUUGUCAGAAUAAUGAAUAAUUACAAAAAUUACAUUUUGCGUUGAAGUAAUUUGAUGUGAUAUUUUUCCAAAACAAAAGGGUAGCUACAGUAGUGUCUGGAUUAGCUAGAAUUCUCCAGAAUAGCUGUGUAUAAUUAAUUAAAUUUUUGAUUAAGAGUUAAUUGGCACAGCUGUUGUUUCAAUUGUUCAUUAAUUUUCUGUAAGUGUACAGUAGUUUCUCCCUUAGUAAAUAAAGGAUAGUAAACAUUCUUAGCAAGAUGAUUUCUAGUCGAAUUUGUUCAUUAUUUAAGCAUAAAUUGUUCUUGUACUGUGUCAUGAAAUGCUUUGAACGUUGUAAAUACAAAGAUGAAUACAUCUUAACUUCGUAACUGUUGGUAUCACACAUUUGGAAACCCAUCAGAGAUGUUGAGGAUGACUGUGCUACAUACAGUAGCCAAAACAGGCAUUACCAACUUUUAAAAAAUCAUUGACAAUCUCAUAGGUAAAAAGGAUAUUUAUUAUAAUUUAAUAUUAAUGUAUUUUAUUAGCGUUAGCUUGUUCAUUUUUCAUCAUUUAAAGUUCAUUUGUGGUGCUCAUAUUGUGAGCUGUCAUUUCAUAUCCAUUGCUCAUUUUUUGGUUAUACUGUUAGUUUCUUCCUAGUAAUAUGUGAAAGCUUUUUACAUAUUAGACUUGGAUUAUGGUGACUUCUUUGCCUUGCGUGUUUGUUAUUAAAAACCUAGUCAAACUUAUCGUUGUUUUCUUUUCUGGCCUUUGAAUGUUGUAUUACACAUAGAGAACCUUUCUUUGUCCUAACAUUUUAUAUUAUUUUCCCAAAAUUCCUGUCACCUUUUGUAAGAUUCAUUUCUUUUAUAUUCAAAUAUUUAGUUUUUAUGGUACAAGGUGGCAUUAAGGAUCAAACUUAUUUUUUUCCCCUGGAAUUUUCCCACUGGUUUGAAGUGUCCCUUAAAUUAUCUUAUGAAUUUUGCCUGCUUCUGGAUUUCUGGUUGGUUAAAUUGAUCUGACUUUCUAUACACAUCCUAUUAUUUCCUGAUUUAGUUAUUAUUUUAUCAUUUUAUCAACAUUAAAAUUUGCUUUACUACAAAAACAAAUAUUGCUUCUCUUCUAAUCCCAAUUCCAAGUAAUUUGCUUCAUCUGAGCUGCUACAAGUAAUGCAUAACCGUCUGAAAUGAGGUCUGGAAUAUUAUGGGGAUCCCAAAAGAAAACUGGCUUGAGGCAGCUUCUCCUGACAGUUGGGCAAACAUGUAAAGAACUGAAUCAAAGAUCAAGGUCAACACCUAGUAAUUUGCAGAUUCUUGGCGGGGUUUAUACAGCAGAGACUUUCAAAAACCCACAGGGAAGAUCAAUAUUGGCCCCAGGUUAGCAUGUUGAGCUUCUCCUAUUAUCAAGAAAAUAAAAAAAUAGUGGAACCAUGGGCAGAUUACUGUAUCACUUGAGACUGAAGAUGUACAGAGGGCACAUGCAGAGCCCCUUUCAUCAGUUGUCCCAAACAUGGAUUGAUGUCUUACCUACUUCACAUCAUUCUUUAUUACCUUUGUGACUGCUGACCCUCAAUGUAAACACAAAUCCACACCUAAGCCCCCAUGCCUUGAGAAAAAAAGAAAAUUGCUGCAUGUUUAAAAGGCCGUGUGUCAGUUUCCUAUGGCUUCUGGAACAAAUUACCAUGAACUAUAUGAUAAAACAACCCAAUGUUAUCCUUUUAUGGUUCUAAAACUUAGAAGUCUGAAAUGGCUCUUAGAGGGCUAAAACCAAGAAGAGAGCAGAGCUACACUUCCAGAGCCUCUAGGGUGGAAUCUGUUUCCUUGCUCUUUCCAACUUCUUGAUGCCACCUGCGUUUUUUGACUCAUGACAUCCUCCUCCAUUUUCAAAACCAGCCAUGGAGCACCCACUAGUCUCUCUUUCUCUUUCUGUCUCUCCCUCUCUCCCUUCCACCCCAACCUCUUUGCUUCUGUUCUCACACCACCUUCUCUCCCUAUGCUUCUAUUUUCACAUCACCAUCCCUGACUAACUCUUCCUGCAUCCUUCCUAUAAGGAACUUUACUAAUCGUCAGGCAUACUCAGAUGACCCAGGAUCUUGAACUUAAUCAUAUAUGCAAAGUCUCUUUUGCAUGUAAGGCAACAUUCACAGGUUCCUGGGAUUAGGAUGUGGAUAUCUUUGGGGGACAUUAUUCAACCUACCAUAGAUAGGCCAACAAAAGAAGUUCAGUCACAAGAUGCAAAACUGAAAUACAGCUCAUAGAGGAAUGAGGUGAAAACUUCAAUAAAAAUAGGAGUAAUUGAGGAAACAGGAGCAGUAGAAAUGUACACACAUACACACACACUAACACAAACAUAGACUUUUUUUUUAAUUAAACAACUAAGAAUAUUUGGAAGGAAAGAAAAUCACAUAUAUUGAAAAGAGAAUUAUAAACAGAAAAUGGAAACUAUAAGCAAUUGUCAAAUGGAAAAAGCAAGAAAUAAAAAUAGUAAUAUCAGAAAUUAAGAAUUCCUUCAAUAAAAUAUCAGUGAUGUCAAAAAUAGUUAAUAGUAAUCAUUCAAACUAACAAAGAAAGAUGGUAAAAGAAGGUAAAAAAAUGACCUGAACAGCCAAGAGCUGGGGGACAAUACCAAUGGUCUAAUAUACCAUGAGUAUAGUUCCAGAAGGAGUAGAAAGAGAGAAUGGGACAGAAGAAAUGUUUGAAGAGAAAAUAGCUGAAAAUUUUUGGAAAGCAAUGAAAGAUGUCAAAUCACAGAUUCAUAAUACUCAAAGAAGAUAAAUACCCCCACUGUCCCACACACAUAUGUAUUCACACCCAGAUACACCAAAAGUAAACAGUAAAUUUCGAAUGCACUCAAAGAAAAGAGACAAAGAGGACUACAGGAGAACAAAGAGAACUAAGCAUUCUCCAUAGUUCCAUUAGUGGUUAUGAGUGACUAUGCACCCAUCAGAAACCCAAUGCUGAAAGAAAGAAUACAGAGACAAAAAGAGGACAAACUGAUGAUUCAGCUUACGUUAAGUUCAAAAGCAGGUAGAACUAAUCUAUGUUGAUAGAAGUAGAAGUGUGAUGUCUUUCAGGGUAUUGAUUUAUAGCAAGCACAGGGAACUCUCAGGGGUACUGGAAGUAUUUUUCUGUCCUUAUUUUGUACUUGAAUUUGCCCACUUUUUUUUUGUAAAUUUGGAUGACUUUUUCUUCCUUCAGAUUUAUAUAUUUUGUAUGUUAGUCUUUUACAAAAUUAUGUAUUGAAAUAUAGUCUUCAACUUAUUCUUGUAACUCUUUUCAACUUUUUUCAAUGUAUAGUGAUUCUUAAGAAAGCUCUGCUUAUCGUAUUACAUUUUUUCACCUUAAAUUUAAGAGGUAUAAAAUAAGUAAAUUGUGUAAAUAAGAUAUGACUGAAUUAAAAUUGAAUAAAUGUAAAAGGGAAAAAAGCCUAAGAAAUAUCAAGAUCUCAAUAUAAAUAAAAACAAGAAAAAUUAAUACACACUUUAAAUUCUAAUUGUAAUCUAAAUAGUCUGUUUCAAAUUGACACAGUAAGCUGUUGAAUUUGUGUUGAAGAGUAAAUAUCUAGUAUUAACAAUGUAAUUUAUGCAAACAGAAGACUGUUGAGCAGAGAUAUGCCUUACCAUAUGUGAAAAAAGUGCAAACCCCAGUAAUCAUGUCACUAUGCUGUUGGCAUAGACUUAGCCAAAGGUGAGUGGAGAGAACAGAGUUCAGAAACAGAUUUCAGAAUCAAUAAAUUUCAAUACAUGAAAAAGAAGGUAUUGCAAUUCGGCAGGAAAUUAUUGGCUAAUUUAAUACUUGUGGCUGGCACAAGUGACUAUUUGUUUGAAAGAAAUUUAUAUAAAAGCCUACUCUACAUCAUAUGAAAACAUAUUGCAGGUAAAUUAAGCCUUUCAAUAUAAAAUAAAAUCGCAGAAAUGUUGGGAAAUUUUAGGAGACCAAACAAAUAAACUAGAGAUUAGGGAAUCUCUUAAAACAUGUUAGGAAGGCCUGGCGCCAUGGCUUACACCUGUAAUCCCAGCACUUUGAGAGGCCCAGGCAGGCGGAUCACGAGGUCAGGAGAUCAAGAUUAUCCUGGCUAACAUGGUGAAACCCCGUCUCUACUAAAAAUACAAAAAGUUAGCUGGGCAUGGUGGCAGGUGCCUGUAGUCCCAGCUACUCAGGAGGCUGAGGCAGAAGAAUGGUGUGAACCCGGGAGGCGGAGCUUGCAGUGAGCUGAGAUCAUGUCACUGCACUCUAGCCUGGUUCCAGAGCAAGGCUCCGUCUCAAAAAAAAAAAAAAAAAAAAAAAAAAAAAAAAAGGAAAAUUGUUGGCUAUAAUGAAACUAUCAAAAUUUUGUUCUAUUAAACAUAAAAUUAUAGGCAAGACACAUUAUAAGUAUAGUCAAAGGAAAACUAUAGAUUGGGAAAGUAUUUACAAUGCACAUACUUGACAUAUGUACAAUACUUAUAUUAUCUCUCAUAUUCAUUAGUGCUACCUUAUUUCAUGACAUGAUUUCAGUGGAUAUAAAUUACAUUGUGUUUUAUGUAACCCCUAGAGACUGUAAUGUGAAUAGAAGCAGGGUUAGGCUCACAGGAGUUGUUCACUACCACAACCCUACUGCAAAGAGUUCCUACAUGUUCAUAUGAGAAAGAAAGCCUUAUAGAAAAGUUUGCAGAGGGUCUUUGACAGAUCACAUAUGGAAGAGACAACCAAAUACACACUAAACACAAAAAUAUUGUGGGACUCAUUAGUAGACAUUUUUUAAUUGUAUUAAAAGAAUAACAGGGUAACUCUGUACAGGUUACCAAAAAUAAAAUAAUAAUCAGAACUGGCACCAAUAGGUACAAAGGGUGAACGCACACAUGUGUACAUAACUGGUGAAAGAUGAUUUCGUAGAGCUUUUUUUGGAAUAUAAUAUGGCAAUUUUAUUUGAUAUUUAUAUCAUAUAUAUAUGUUUAUAUCACAAACAAAGACUUCUGUAGCACAAUAAGAAGAUUCCAGGAAAUCUACAGGUUUAUUUGCAUUUAUUUAUUGGUAUGGUAAAAAUCUAGGACAGGGAUCACUAACACUAAUGCUACAAUACAAUUUUAUGAGGAUAAAUCUAGAAAUGAGCUAAAGCACUAGUAAGUAGGGAAGCUGUUGACAAAAUUACGGAACAUUCAUCCCACGGAAAUGUGAAGUCUUUGCAAGGAUGAGUUAAACGUUUAUGAGUUGUCUUGAGAAGAGUUUAUCAUACAAUUCUAAGUGAGAAAAUCAAAUUGCAGUAAUGUAUAUAUAAUAUAAGCUCAAUUUAAUACACAGAGAAGGGAAAUACUUUUGUAGAAAUUUUCACUUGAGUGUAUGAACAAAGAGAGAAUUUGGGUUAAUGGAAAGAGCAAGGAGACACCACAAAAAAAGGAGAUGAUAAAAAAAUGCUAUAUUAAAAAUGCCAAGACAAAAAGCAAACUCAUUAAAGAUAAAAUAAAAAACAAUAUGUGUAUAUAUGCAUAUAUUUAUUUCUCUCUUAUGAAAAGGUUAUUGCUGGUUAUGUCUACUAAUUGAAAAUUUCAAGUGAUUUUGACUUUCCUCUUACAUUUUGCUAUAUUGUUUGAAGUAUUUAUAAAAAGCAUGAAUUAUUUAUAUAAUCAGAAAGAAACAAGGAAACAUUUUUAUUUAAAAAAGAAAAUGUGUAAUCCAUGUGUAAUAUGUAAAUUUGUAUGACUCAGAAUAAGUUAAUCAUUGUAAUAGCCUACUUCUAUUAUUUGUCACAUCAGAGAGCUUCAUGCAUUGGUAAUUCCCUAUCUACAACUAUCUAGCUGUCUUUCUAUCUCUGAGACAUUCCAGGCUUUGCUUAUUAUGAGGGUAAACAGGUCCUAUCACAGCAAUUUCCCAGGACAUACCUUGAAGCCACUGCGCACUUGAUUACCAGAUACUGGGCCACAUAGAAUAAAUGGUGCUGCUCUGCAAUCUUCUGCUUCUAGUUUCUGAUGCUUUCUUUCUUUGGUUUCAUUGAAUGCAGUUGCUCUGCCAGUACUGACCUCCCCUAGUAACCCCAGUCCUGUUCUCUUUCAUGUAGUGAACAAGUCAUUAUUCUUUAAGUAAUAUUGUGCAAUAGGAUAUUCUACAAUAAUGGGAAUGUUUACCUGUGCUGGCAAUGUGGUGGGGACUGGCCACAUGGAGCUCUCGAGCAGUUGAAAUGUGGCUAGUGACACUGAGAAACUAACUUUUAAAAUUGUAUUCAAGUUUUAUUUAUUUAAAUUUAAGUAGCAAAAAUGUGGCCUGUGGCUAUUAUUGAGCAGUGCCACUUUAAAAUAAAAUUUUCAGUACUAUUGGGAUAGUAAUAGCAUUUUUCACCUAUGUCUCAUCUUUGGCUCUCCCAGACACAUAAGCCUUGCAGGUGUGACUGUGCUGAGAGGUCACAGCCAUCUCGCAUCAGGGGUCCCCAAGCCCCAGGCCAUGGACUGGUACUGGGCCGUGGCCUGUUAGGAACUGGACCACAUAGCAGGAAGUGAGCGGUGGUCAAGGGAGCUCUACUGCCUGAGCUCCACCUUCUGUCAGAUCAGCAGCGGCAUUAGAUAAGCACAAACCGUAUUGUGAACUGCACAUGUGAGGGGUCUAGGCUGUGUGCUCCUUAUGAGAAUGUAAUGCCUGGUGAUAUGAGGUGGAACAGUUUCAUCCUGAAACUGUGCCCACCCCACACCCCACCCCCAUCCUUCCAUGGAAAAAUUGUCUUCUAUGAAACUGGUCCCUGGUGCCAAAAAAGCUCGGGACCAUUGCUCUGGAUUACUCUCAAUUCUUCUUCGCUAGUGGUUAUUUGUUUUUGGGGGUCCACAUUAUCUCCUCCAAUCCAGAAUCCACUGUGGAAUCUCUACCAUAUAAAGAAGUUUGUUAAUUUCCAAAUUAUCAUAUGGAUUGAAUAUGAAUUAUUUUUCAUAGAUAUUCUGAACCCCAACAACUUAUGGGAUAUACUUGAGAACCUUUUUAAUGUUGAUAUUUUGUCAAUUAUAAUAACAAAAUCCUAAACACGUUCUGAAAGAAGUUCAUCUGCCAAAAGCGCACUAGAAAGUGUUGUUGUCCAAUUCUUCCUCCAAGCCCAUUAGAGCUUAAUCUCUGAGCCAGGCAAAAUUAUACACAUGCAACCAUCCCACAAUUAAGGAGCCCUACAUUUACAUUUAGAUCAGGGAAAUUUAAAUGUUUUCUUCUUCUGCACUCACCACAAAGAAGAGCACCAGCAUAGGCGCUGCAGCCCUUGUCUAAAGUUCAUUUUCUCUGUCCCUAUUCUGUCACCUCCCAGGAGGAGAACAAGUCUCAUAUGCAGAGUCAGAAUUUACUCAUGAAUUUACAGCAUCACAAAUUCAGAGUGUCAUUCAAUUUCCCUUGCUCUACUCCAGGACACUUGACGGCUACUUCUUUUAGAUUCUGGAAACACAAGUUGUCCACCCCUUUCUGAGCAACACGUAGGCGCUGCAUAUAGCACAGAGGUUCAGUGUAAGAACGCUGGAGACAGACUGCCUGCUAUCGAGACCGGGUUUCUCCAUAUCCUAGUUGUGUGUACUUGAGCAAAUGUUGAACAUCUGUCUCCCUGCCCUCAUCUUUAAAUGGGGAAUAAUAAUCGUAUGUGGAUUCCAUAGGAUGGUUGAAAGGAUGAAAUAAACUAAUACCUAGUCAUCCUUUGAUAUUUAUGGGGGAUUGGUUCCAGGACCCCCCUGCAGAUAUCAAAAUCCAUGGAUGCUCAAGUCCCCUAUGCGAAAUGGCACAGUUUUUACUUAUAACCUACAUACAUUCUCCCGUGUACUUUAAAUAAUCUCUUGAUUACUUAUAAUACCUAAUUCAACGUAAAUGCUAUGUAAAUUGUUGUCAUAUGUAUAUUUUAUUUCUAUUAAUUAUUAUAGUAUAGUUACUUUUUUUUUUCUAAUAUUUAAAAUAUGAAGUUGGUUGAAUCUACAGGUGUGGAACAAAUGUGUAUGAAAGGCCAACUGCAUAAAGCAUUUAUAACAAUGCCUGGCAAUACUACUGGCACUACUACGUGCAGUGUCUCAUCAUUUGCUCUCCACUUGCCAAAGUUGGCUGCCCUUUUAACCUUCAAGAAGGAAGCCAUAUUAACCAGGAAUUUUCCUUCUAUGGGCAAGUUACACAUACAGGCAACCCUGGGAUAUAUUGCAGAUUUGGUUCCAGGCCACUGAAAUAAAGCCAAUAAGGCAAUAAAGUGAGUUACACAGAUAUAUCUUUUUUCUUUCUCAGUGCACAUAAAAGUUAUUUUUACACUAUGCUGGAGUCUAUUAAUUCAAUAGCACUAUGUCUAAAAAAUUUACAUACCUUAAUUAAAAUAUAUUUUAUUGCUGAAAAAUGCUAAGUAUCUUCUGAGCCUUCAGCAAGUUAUAAUCCUUAUGCUAGUGGAGGGUCUUGCCUCAAUGUGGAUGGCUGCUGACUGGUUAGGGUGGCGAUGGUUCCUCAAGGUUGGGGUGUCUGGCAAUUUCUUAAAACAAGACAACAAUGAGAUUUGCCACAUUGAUUGACUCUUCCUUUCAUGAAAGAUUUCUCUGUAGCAUCUGAUGCCAUUUGAUAGCAUUUUACCCAAACUUUCAAAACCUGUCUCAAACCUUGACACUGCUUUAUCAACUAAGUGUAUGUAAUAUUCUAAAUCAUUUGUUGUCAUUUCAAAGUGUUCAUAGCAUCUUCACCACUGGUGGAUUCUAUCUCAAAGAAGCCACUUUCUUUGCUCUUCCAUAAGGAAAAUCACCUCAUUCUCUUCAAGUUUUAUCAUGAAAUUGCAGCAAUUCAUUCACACCUUCAGGCUUCACUUCUAAUUCUAGUUAUCUUGCUAUUUUGGCCAAAUCUGAAAUUAAUGCCUGCACUGAUGUCAUGAACCCCUGAAAGUCAUCUAUGAGCAUUAGAAUAAACUUUUUCCAAUCUCCAGUUAAUGGUAAUAUUUUGACCUCGUCUCAUGAAUCACUUAUGUUCUUAAGGGCAUCUAGACUGGUGAAUCCUUUCCUGGUUUUCAACUGACUUCUCCCAGAUCCAUCAGAGGAAUCACUAUCUGUGGCAGCUAUAGCCUUCUGAAAUGUAUUUCUUAAAUAAUAAGAAUCGAAACUUGAAAUUGCUCUUUUAUCCAUGGGCUACAGAACGGUUGUUGCGUUAGCAGGCAUGAAAACAAUGCUUAUCUCUUUUUACCUCUCCAUCAGAGCUCUUGGGUGACUAGGUACAUUGUCAAUGAGCAGUAAUAUUUUGAAAAGAACUUAUUAUUUUAAGCAGUAGGUCUUGAAAGUGGUCUUAAAAUAUCCAGUAAACCAUGCUAUUAACAGAUGUGCUGUCAUCCAGGCUUUGUUCUUCCGUUUAUUGAGCACAGACGGGGUAGAUUUACCAUAAUUCUUUAGAGCCCUAGGAUUUUUAGAAUUGUAAGUGAGCAUUGGCUUCAACUUAAAGUCACCAGCUAUCUUAGCCUCUAACAAGAGAGUCAGCCUGUCUUUUGAAAGUUUUCAGCCAGGCCUUGCUCUCUGUAGCUAUGAAAGUUCUAGAUGGUAUCUUCUUCCAAUAGAAGGCUGUUUGAUCUACACUGAAAAUCUGUUGUUUAGUGUAGUCACAUUCACAAUGAUCUUACCUAUGAUUUUCUGGAUAAUUUGCUGCAGUUUCUACCUCAGCACUUGCUGUUUAACCUUGCACUUUUAUGUUAUAGAGAUAGCUUCUUUCUUUAAGCCCCAUGAACCAAACUCUGCUGGCUUCCAAUUUUGUCCUCUGCAGCCUCUUCACCUCUCUCAGCCUUCAUGAAAUUGAAGAGUGUUAAGACCUUGCUCUGGAUCAGGCUUUGGCUUAAGGGAAUGUUGUGCCUGGUUAGAACUUCUAUUCAGAUCUUUAAAACUUUCUCCAUAUCAGCAAUAAGGCUGUUUCACUUUCCUAUUACUCAUGUGUUCAUUGAAAUAGCACUUUUAAUUUCCUUCAAGAACUUUUUCUUUGCAUUCACAUCUUGGAUAACUGGCACAAGAAGCCUAGCUUUUGCCCUAUCUCAGCUUUCAACAUGCGUUACUCACUAAGCUUAAUAAUUUCUAGCUUUUCAUUUAAAGUGAGAGAUGUGUGACUCUUCCUUUCACUUCAAUACUUACAGUCCAUUUUAGGGUUAUGUAUUGGCCUAAUUUCAAUAUUGUUGUAUUUCAAGGAAUAAACAGGCCUGAGGAGAGGGAAAGCCAGGGAACAGCCAGUUGAUGGAGCAGUCGGAACACACAAAACAUUUAUCAAUUGCGUUCACUGUCUUAUAUGGUCACAGUUCUUGGUACCCCAAAAUAAUUACAAUAGUAACAUCAAAUAUCAUUGAUCACAGGUAAUCACAACAGAUAUAAUAAUAAUGAAAACUUUUGAAAUAUUGUGAGAAUUGCCAAAAUGUAACAAAGAGACCAAAGCAAAAGUGAGCACAUGUUAUAAGGAAAAUCGUGCUGAUACAUUUGUUCAAGGAAAAGUUGCCACAAACCUUCAAUUUUUGAAAAAUGCAGUAUCUGUAAAGUGCAAUGAAAGUAUGCUAUAUUCCAGGGAUACUUACAUCUUUCAUCUUUGGCUGGAAAACACCUCUAAAUACUCACACAACAUCUUCCCAAGAGACACAAGACCAUCACACAAUUAAAUGUAUUCAAAAGUUCCUGUAGCUUGCCAGGAUAAAGUCCAAAAUCCUUAACAUGGACAACAACAACAAAGAUCUUGUGUGAUCUAACUUCACACAGCUCUGGUGUCAUAGGCGAUACUCCAUGAAUGCCUGUGGAAUGGAUAACCAAAUGAAGGGAGUUUACCAGUGGAACAGAUCAGAUUCAGAUUUGAUGAGCAGCAAAUCAAUGAAACAGACACAUCACCACAGUUGAAAAUGGAAGAUGGAGAAAAAUUGAUAUAAUAGAGGACAGUAUAGAAUACCAAAAAAAUUGACCUGAGACUUCAUAAUUCUGUUCCUGUAAACAAGGGCCUUCAGGUUUUAAAUAACAUACUAGACAUUGUUAUUCCUUCUGUGUAGCAGAUACAAGAGGCAAUAUUUUCACUUUUAUGUUGGAGGUGAUGUCGUGGCAUACCUCGGACCACUGGAGCUAACUGAAUGUUACAUCCUGAAUCUUCGUAAGGUUUCUCUCCCAUCCUCUGGAGUGCCUGUGUCUUACUGAGCCUACAGCAGUACAAGCUAGAAGCCAACUCUUGCUCAUCUUGCCUGCUCAACAUGAUGUCAUCAAUGCAGUGGAUUAAAGUGAAGUACCACGUGAUGUCCAGAUGGCCUGGACUCUUCAGAUUUUAUUAUGAUGGCGUGCAUGAACACUGAUACAGCUCCAGGGAAAAACUCUGAGUAAUUCUGUUGUCCAUUGCACAUGAAAGUUAACUUUCUGAUUAUUUCUUUUGAUUCUAAUAGAAAAACAUGUAUUCAAUCAGGUAAUGAUCACAUACCACAUACCUGAGGCUUUGCUAAUCUGCUUCAGCCAUGCUACAAAAUCCUGCAAUCAGGAUUACUAUUUGAUUGAGCUGGCAGUAAUCAUUUUUGUGGAUCAUCUGGAUUCUUCUUCUGAGAAACAACUUGUGAAUCAAAUUUCCAACUGUAUCACUCACCCAUGCAUGCAUCCUGAAACUUUAAUAGUAGCAUUACUAUCUGCCAUACACACACACACACACACCAAACACGCACAUGCUUAAUGAGGUGGGAUUUUGUUUUUGAUCUACAUAAAAUGUUGGCAACUGGGAGGUUUCAGAGGAUUUCACCUGUCUUCCUCAUUGAAAUAUUAGGGCCCUAUUAUGGGUGUUAUUCCAAAUGUCUAAUAUGUAAGCAUAAAUUUCAUACUUGGGAAUCAGAGAAUUAAGUUGACAAGCACGUGGGUGGUCAGAGAGUGGAUCCAUUAUAGGCCAGAAUUUAACCGGCACUCUAUCAAUUACCUGGUUCCGUAUGCAUCCACUCUAACCAGAGAACAAUGGUUUGCAUCACAUCAAUGUCAACUUAGAUAUGUGUCCCUUAGUUCACGCAUGGUCUGGAUGUUCCCUUUUUCUCAAUGUGCAGAAACUGACAUAGUUUCUUUGAGUAAGGAAAAUAAUUCCAAUAUAUAUUUGUUGGGGUGCGGCAGAGUUCUUCCACCUAGAGACCUAGAUAUCGCUUUAGUUCAUGAGUUCCAGAUUUAAAACUGGGCUGUUUCUCAAAUGGAGCAAGGGACAUAGCUGGCUACCUAAUUAAUGGGUCUCAUAAUUAAUGGGUCUCAAUGGAAAUCAAAUUGUGAGGUCCCUUAUUGAAAAAGCAGAAAACAGAGCUGUUGACAGUAGUGCUAUACUAAUACCUGGGGCUGUUUCCUUUCUUUUGCUGUGUCUCAUUAUUUGUCAUGACACUUUAUAUUUGUUACCUGAUGUUUUCCAAGAAAAACAAUUAAUUUAAAAUAUUUUUAAAAAAUAAUUAUUUUGAAAUAUUUUCUAAAAAAUAGAAGUAGAAAAUAUGAAACUUGGAGAUCUACCUGAAGUAGCAAAGUUGGAAAUCAGUGGUGAUGAGUUCCUCAAUUUUCUUCUGAAACUACUGUGGCUAUUUAAUAAUAAAAAUGAUGCAGAGUAUCUUUACUGAGUUAUCUAAAAUUAUCAUAUUAUUAGAAUGGCUUUCUCCUCAGAGUUUUACUUUAAUUUGUGAAGAAAUAGCUAGUACUGUUGAAGAUUUCAGAGAAGGCUUCAGAAGUUUCAAAAGAGGCAGGGAGCGGUGGCUCUCACCUCUAAUCCCAACUCUUUCGGAGGACGAGAAGGGUGGAUCAUUUGAGGUCAGGAGUUCUAGACCAGCCUGGCCAAUGUGGUGAAACCCCAUCUCUACUAAAAAUAUAAAAUUAGCCAGGCAUGGUGGUGCACGCCUGUAAUCCCAGCACUCAGGAGGCCGAGGCAGGAGAAUCAUGAAUCAUUUGAACCCGGGAGGUGGAGGUUGCAGUGAACCGAGAUUGCAACACUGCACUCGAGCCUGGGAAAACAGUGAGACUCUGUCUCAAAAAAAAAAAAAAAAAAAAAAAAAAAAAAAAAGAAGAAGAAUAAGUUGCAAAAGAAACAGAAAAACUGGUUGAAUUCAUAAAUUCAUACACCGUCAAUGGAAGAUGUAUCUACAUGGAAUUGUGGAAUUUUGAAGAAAACAGCUGUUACAGUGCUCCAUAUGGAUUUGAGAUUUUUUGUUUCAUCUGCAUACUGACUUUACAGAGAAAAUAAUUCCAAUAUUUUUUCUGAGCAAUGUAUGUAUGUAUUUUGUCAUCCUAAACUAUUUUUGAAAAGUUAUCUUUAACAUUUUGGCACAAUAUAACAAUAUUUUUUGCAAAUACUCCAUAGAAAAAAAUAUGAUAGCAUAAGCCAGAGGCUUUUCUCGUAUAAAGGGGUUUGUCUGAGUUAUAAAUAUAAUGCAAUUGUAUUUAUGUUGAUUUUUAUCAAGGAAUAAUUAUAAAUAUUUUUAAAUAAAAAAUAAAAAUAAUUGACUGGGCAUAGUGGCUGACGUCUGUAGUCCCAGCAGUUUUGUAGGCUGAGACAGGUGGAUCACCUGAGGUCAGGAGUUUGAGACCAGCCUGGGCAACAUGGCAAAACCCCAUCUCUACUAAAAAUACAAAAAUUAGCUAAGCACAGCUGCAUGAACUUCUAGUCCCAGUUACUUGGGAGGCUAAGGUGGGAGGAUCACAUGAGCCCUGGAGGCAUAGGCUGUGGUGAGCUGAGAUUAUGCCACUGCACUCCAGCCUGGGCAACAGAGUGAGACCCUUUCUCAAACAAUAAUAAUAAUAAUAAAUUUUCUGCAUGGAUGUUAUAAUGUAAUGUGCCUUUGUAUUGUACUAUGUGAUUUUUAAUUGCAAAGAAUGAGAGCAUUUCAUUGAUAUAAGAAAUCACUGAAAUUACUCAAUUUGUAUUUUAUAACUCUGACAUGGCUCUGUAUUUCAUUCUUAAAAGAACAGUGGAAACACUGCACAAAUGUAACUCUCUCUCUUAAUACAUUCACAUUCUACCAA